CUCUGCUUCUUCUCCUCUUCCUCAGCCUACUCACUGUGAAGGUGAUGAGGAUCUACUUUCCCUUCAUGCAUAGUAAAACAAUCGCUUGCAGAUGAUUAUGAAGCGUCAUGGCUAGAUACAUGUGGCAUUUUGCAGCAAAACCCUUGUAUGGUGGAUCCAUCAUUGUCAUCAAACAGCAAGAUUGAUAAUACCAUGACUCAAAACGAGAAGUCCAGGACAACGCCUUUAGGGAAAGCGCGAAUGCAGUCCCCCACUAUCACAAAUUAUGCAGUCGAGUUUCCCACAUUUGGGGAAAUCGCAGGGGUCAGCACAUCCGGAGUGCAAUGGAUAAGCCUUGCCCUGGGAAAACCACCUUCGUGAUCAUGGUAU